rnacentral:rRNA from 1 species
UACGUAGGGGGCAAGCGUUGUCCGGAAUCAUUGGGCGUAAAGAGCGUGUAGGCGGCCCGGUAAGUCCGCUGUGAAAGUCCAGGGCUCAACCCUGGGAUGGCGGUGGAUACUGUCGGGCUCGAGUCCGGAAGAGGAGUGUGGAAUUCCUGGUGUAGCGGUGAAAUGCGCAGAUAUCAGGAGGAACACCGGUGGCGAAGGCGGCGCACUGGGUCGAGACUGACGCUGAGGCGCGAAAGCGUGGGGAGCAAACAGG